AUGGAGUACCGCAACAAGAUGGUGCUCGCGCCCAUGGUCCGCGCGGGUACUCUGCCGUUUAGGCUAUUGGCUGCUGAAUAUGGCGCGGAUAUUACGUAUGGAGAAGAAAUAAUAGAUCAUAAGUUUGUGAACUGUCAACGUGUUAUAAAUGAAUCUCUUGGGACAACUGAUUUUGUGGAGAGAGGGACUGAUAGUGUUGUUUUCCGAACAUGCCCGCAAGAAAGGGACAAGGUUGUCUUUCAAAUCGGCACGUCAGAUGCUGUGAGAGCACUUAAAGCUGCUGAGAUUGUGUGUAAUGAUGUUGCUGCUAUAGAUAUCAACAUGGGCUGUCCAAAGGCUUUUUCUGUCAGUGGAGGAAUGGGUUCUGCAUUACUCUCCAAACCUGAGCUUAUACAUGAUAUUUUGACUACAUUGCGGAGGAACUUGAACACACCAGUGACAUGUAAAAUCCGUCUACUGAACACACGUCAGGACACUGUGGAGUUGGCACGCCGGAUUGAGAAAUGUGGUGUUCCAGCUCUGGCUGUCCAUGGAAGAAAGGUCAAAGACAGGCCAAGGGAUCCGGCUAAGUGGGAUGAGAUUGCUGAUGUUGUAUCCGCACUGUCAAUUCCAGUUAUAGCUAAUGGGAAUGUAUUUGAGUACGAAGAUUUUAAGAGAAUCAAAGAUGCUACAGGUGCCACAUCUGUAAUGGCUGCUAGAGGUGCCUUGUGGAAUGCCUCCAUUUUCUCUGCUAAAGGCAAAGUACCUUGGGAGGAUUUCAAAACAGAGUAUGUGAGAAAGACUAUUUUGUGGGACAACGAUAUUAAGAGCACAAAGACAACGCUAAGAGAAAUCAUAAUGCACUACAUUUGCCUUGAAGGGACUGAAGGGAAAGGUGUGAUAAAGUGUGGUUUGUCAGCAGAUGUAGCGAGACUUUACGGGGAAGAGGAUUACUAUAAUUUUGUUGUUUCAAAUAGGAAAUGA
rnacentral:rRNA from 1 species